rnacentral:tRNA from 1 species
GCUUUUAGCUCAGUGGUUAUAGCGUUCGUCUCCCAUGCCAGUGUGUGUGUCAAGGUGGUGGGUUCGAGGCCCGCGAGCG